rfam:Neolentinus lepideus HHB14362 ss-1 unplaced genomic scaffold NEOLEscaffold_28, whole genome shotgun sequence.
UCUCUUGUGCUCGGGCAUGUACUGUCGCCAGUGAGGUCCUUACCGAGGCACAGUCUUUUGCUGAUUGCAAAUUAAACAUCCGAACACGUCCUUUAGCUUCGGCUUUAGGCAAUUUUUGGAAAACCUUCCCUUUUCUGAUAUGU